GACGAACCGAGCGAACGUUAUUCGGAAUCACUGGGCUUAAAGGGCGCGUAGGCGGGCCGUCAAGUCGAGGGUGAAAGCCCCCAGCUCAACUGGGGAAGUGCCUUUGAUACUGGCGGUCUCGAGGGGGAUAGGGGCGUGCGGAACUUCCGGUGGAGCGGUGAAAUGCGUAGAUAUCGGAAGGAACACCGGUGGCGAAAGCGGCGCGCUGGAUCCCUUCUGACGCUGAGGCGCGAAAGCCAGGGGAGCGAACGGG
rnacentral:rRNA from 1 species